rnacentral:rRNA from 1 species
GCUAACUACGUGCCAGCAGCCGCGGUAAUACGUAGGGCGCAAGCGUUAUCCGGAAUUAUUGGGCGUAAAGAGCUCGUAGGCGGUUUGUCGCGUCUGCCGUGAAAGUCCGGGGUCAACUCCGGAUCUGCGGUGGGUACGGGCAGACUAGAGUGAUGUAGGGAGACUGGAAUUCCUGGUGUAGCGGUGAAAUGCGCAGAUAUCAGGAGGAACACCGAUGGCGAAGGCAGGUCUCUGGGCAUUAACUGACGCUGAGGAGCGAAAGCAUGGGGAGCGAACAGGAUUAGAUACCCUGGUAGUCCAUGCCGUAAACGUUGGGCACUAGGUGUGGGGGACAUUCCACGUUUUCCGCGCCGUAGCUAACGCAUUAAGUGCCCCGCCUGGGGAGUACGGCCGCAAGGCUAAAACUCAAAGGAAUUGACGGGGGCCCGCACAAGCGGCGGAGCAUGCGGAUUAAUUCGAUGCAACGCGAAGAACU